AAGAUUAAACAAUUCACAAACAGAAGCAUAGUAGCAUGAAAACAUUUGCGUAUUGUGCUAAACAAAUCUAGUAAAGGGACAAUGAUUAAACAUGUUCACAAAUAAUACUAUAGAAUCAUGAGAUAUUCACGUACUGUCUAAAAAAUCAAGUAAAUAAGGAUUACUUGCUUGAAGCACAAAAGAAACCUUCAUUUCCUUGAAUGUUUGUCUGGAUGAUACCUUUGCAGCGCCCACAUUUGUGUCUUUUAUGUGGUGCAAUCAAAGUGUAUGUCCUACUCUCGAAAUUGAAUUGAAGCUCAAAAAUGGAACAUCAAUUCUCACAAGUGAUCACUCUUUUGGUUUUUCUCUCUGCCCCUCUAAACCUCAUUC
rnacentral:lncRNA from 1 species